GCGAAACUGCAGGUAGAGGGAGGCCGCUAUUCUAGCCUAUUGUUCUAAACUCAGAGGCAAGAGGGAGAAAUUGUAAUAGCUUUCUUUUGGACUGCUUUUGCUGUUACUGAAGUUUAUUCACAAAGAUCACGUGUAGGAGCCUCCUGCUUUCCCAGGUGGCUCUCUUGGGCAGGACUUAUAUAAGGCUCCAGACGGCGCCAUGCCUGUGUUGGCCCACUGUGAUCAACAGGAAAUACUCAGGAAUCCUUGGCCUUGAGGUUCCCAAGACAGCAGCAGGUGCCUGACUCCUGGUUAUUAUUUCCGGCUGCACCACCCGUCGCAGACGUGCCAGAUGCAAUCAAAGAGGAUACCAGAUGCAGCCAGGGGUACAGCCGCAGCACGUACGUGGGAGGCGUCCUGAGCGUCCCUUCUCCCGCGCCCGGGUCCCCAGCCACCAACCUCCUCCCCGACCCCGCGCCGGCCUCGCUGCGCACCCCCGCCCGAGGUCGGACGUGGACAGGCUGUGCGCACGCGCGAGGGAGGGGCGCGCGGCGGCGGGGGUGGGGGGGGUAGCCGCCUGGGACCCCCGUUGGCAGGGGAGCACCGCGUUUGAGGAGCCCGGGAGGCCGCUAGCGAUUCCCUCACCAGGCUCAUUUAGAAGCUUCUUUAGCCAUUCUUCCAGGGAUUUCCCUUCCCACGCCAGAAUGCCUUACCUACCUACGCCCACUCCCCAACGGAUACGCCCCUAAUAUAAUAAACAGUUAACAGGGCUCCAAAGAUGCCACGAUCACUUGGAUGAAGCGCUCAAACGUGACCAUCAAUAUGAAUGAUGGCCGCCCUCCAUGUUAAUGAACAGGUAUUUAAGUUUCUACGAGACCAAAGAACCAGCGGGGCAGUGGUUGACAGGUUGCCACAGUGGCUCUGAGCAGAGUAGUGUGCUGACCGUCCUGACCGAGAUCUCCUGCGGUGGAAGAGAAUGACUGGGAAGUUUUCCCUGGGAGUAAGUACGAAGAAGAGUCAGGAAAAGAUUCUUUCCUGGGGUUUCUGAGCGAAGGCUUUGUGUACUGAGGGAAACCAGGAGAAGUCUGCUUUCAUUAUGGUGCUUUCUUGCUCAAAAUCAUUGGCUUCCCAUUGCCUGAAGCAGCAUUUCCGAAGCAAGUUCCACACAAGUGCUUUUUUAAGAACUUUAAUGCCUCUAAUGUGUUCACGUGCCCUGUAAAUUCCCAAGAGGAGUACACAGAAUCUAGUGUUUCCCAAACAAAUUUGCUCUUGGAAUCCUGUUUUCAUGGAACAUCUCAGAGGAACACAUUUUUAGAAACGCUGGUCCACGCGAUAAAGUCACGUUCUGGCA